GACGAACGCUGGCGGCGCGCUUAACACAUGCAAGUCGAACGGAGAGGCCUGCUUUCCCUUGUGGAUUGCGGGUACUCGAGUGGCGAACGGGUGAGUAACACGUGAGUGAUCUGCCCCCAACUUGGGUAUAAGCCUGGGAAACUGGGUCUAAUUCCCGAUAGGACUGCAGGGUGGUGCCUGUGGUGGAAAACGAUUUUCUAGUGGUUGGGGAUGAGCUCGCGGCCUAUCAGCUUGUUGGUGGGGUAAUGGCCUACCAAGGCGGCGACGGGUAGCCGGCCUGAGAGGGUGGACGGCCACAUUGGGACUGGGAUACGGCCCAGACUCCUACGGGAGGCAGCAGUGGGGAAUAUUGCACAAUGGGCGGAAGCCUGAUGCAGCGACGCCGCGUGGGAGAUGACGGCCUUCGGGUUGUAAACUCCUUUCGACCGCGAGGAAGCCACCUGGUUGGAAGGGUGGUGACGGUAGUGGUAGAAGAAGCACCGGCUAACUACGUG
rnacentral:rRNA from 1 species